AGAAACUUAGGAUAAUAGACCAAUAGCCUUCAAAGCUUUAAGUAGAAGUUAAAACCUUCUAGUUUCUG
rnacentral:tRNA from 1 species